rnacentral:rRNA from 1 species
UACGAAGGGUGCUAGCGUUGUUCGGAAUUACUGGGCGUAAAGCGCGCGUAGGCGGAUUGACAAGUCAGAGGUGAAAUGCCGGGGCUUAACCCCGGAACUGCCUUUGAAACUGUUAGUCUGGAGUUCGAGAGGGGAUGGUGGAAUUCCUAAUGUAGAGGUGAAAUUCGUAGAUAUUAGGAGGAACACCGGUGGCGAAGGCGGCCAUCUGGCUCGAUACUGACGCUGAGGCGCGAAAGCGUGGGGAUCAAACAGG